CAGUCGCCACGGUAAUACGAAGGGGGCUAGCGUUGCUCGGAAUGACUGGGCGUAAAGGGCGCGUAGGCGGAUGGUACAGUCAGAUGUGAAAUUCCUGGGCUUAACCUGGGGGCUGCAUUUGAUACGUGCUGUCUAGAGUGAGGAAGAGGGUCGUGGAAUUCCCAGUGUAGAGGUGAAAUUCGUAGAUAUUGGGAAGAACACCGGUGGCGAAAGCGGCUCACUGGACAAUAACUGACGCUGAUGCACGAAAGCUAGGGGAGCAAACAGGAUUAGAUACCCGGGUAGUCCCUGUCUCUUAUAC
rnacentral:rRNA from 1 species